GUUUGAUAUUCGGGUCGAAAUCCGAUCCGGUCAAAUCAGGCGUUCCAGGUGACGUCUAACUACUGAAAACCUUAGGGGAGGGUCGCCUGAUGCCAACGAGUAUUGUGCCUUUGAUGGCAAGGCUGCCUGUUAGCUGAACGACAGUGGGUGAGAGGAGAAGGUGUUGUCAGCAAUGCUUCUAUGUUCUUUUUGAAGGCUUUGUUUCUG
rnacentral:misc_RNA from 1 species